rnacentral:rRNA from 1 species
AUUGAACGCUGGCGGCAUGCCUUACACAUGCAAGUCGAACGGCAGCACGGGAGCAAUCCUGGUGGCGAGUGGCGAACGGGUGAGUAAUAUAUCGGAACGUGCCCAGUCGUGGGGGAUAACGCAGCGAAAGCUGUGCUAAUACCGCAUACGAUCUACGGAUGAAAGCGGGGGACUCGCAAGAGCCUCGCGCGAUUGGAGCGGCCGAUAUCAGAUUAGCUAGUUGGUGGGGUAAAAGCCCACCAAGGCGACGAUCUGUAGCUGGUCUGAGAGGACGACCAGCCACACUGGAACUGAGACACGGUCCAGACUCCUACGGGAGGCAGCAGUGGGGAAUUUUGGACAAUGGGCGCAAGCCUGAUCCAGCAAUGCCGCGUGCAGGAUGAAGGCCUUCGGGUUGUAAACUGCUUUUGUACGGAACGAAACGGUCCUUUCUAAUAUAAGGGGGCUAAUGACGGUACCGUAAGAAUAAGCACCGGCUAACUACGUG